rnacentral:rRNA from 1 species
UGGGGGAUAUUGCACAAUGGGGGAAACCCUGAUGCAGCGACGCCGCGUGAGGGAAGACGGUCCUCUGGAUUGUAAACCUCUGUCUUCGGGGACGAAAGAAGACGGUACCCGAGGAGGAAGCCACGGCUAACUACGUGCCAGCAGCCGCGGUAAUACGUAGGUGGCAAGCGUUGUCCGGAUUUACUGGGUGUAAAGGGUGCGUAGGCGGCAAAGCAAGUCAGAUGUGAAAUGUAUGGGCUCAACCCAUGAACUGCAUUUGAAACUGCAUUGCUUGAGUGAAGUAGAGGCAGGCGGAAUUCCCUGUGUAGCGGUGAAAUGCGUAGAGAUAGGGAGGAACACCAGUGGCGAAGGCGGCCUGCUGGGCUUUAACUGACGCUGAGGCACGAAAGCGUGGGUAGCAAACAGGAUUAGAUACCCUGGUAGU